AGCACCAGGUAUCAUUUUUUCGUUGGUUGGAGUGCAGGAAUCUUUUUUUUUUUUUUUUUUUUAUAUAAUAUAUAUAUAUAUAUAUAUAUAUAUUAUAUAAAAAAAAAAAAAACAGAUUCCUGCACUCCAACCAACGAAAAAAUGAUACCUGGUGCU